rnacentral:rRNA from 1 species
AUAGGAGAUUUUAACGAAAUUUUGGUGGCAAGUGAAAAGGAAGGCGGAAAUAUUAGACCCCAAUAGUACAUGCAAAAUUUCAGGGACUGUGUAGAUGACUGCGGGCUGCAAGAGGUCAUGGCAAUCGGUGAUCCCUUCACGUGGAGCCGAGGAGUCAUCUGAGAGCGGCUGGAUUGAGCGCUCUGUAAUGAGAAGUGGGCCGAGAAAUUUCCAUAUGCAGCAGUAGUUCAUGAACAUCAUGUACACUCUGAUCAUAGACCACUCCUU